GCAACCCGCGGCGCGGCGCGGCGCGGCGGGCGGCGGAGGAGGAGGAGCGCGCGUGUAUGUCUCUCUUGUUCUCAAGCUCAUACAUGUGUGGAAACAUCCUCCCUUUUAAGGAGGUCCAACUCCCACUAAACUAGCGAUGUGGGACUAAACAUUUCCACCUCUUGCCUUGCACAAAUGGGCUGCGUGGGCCUCUAGGAUUUAUUAGGAAUUUCUGAAAUUACAUAUUGGGCUGGUCCAUAAAUACACAAAAUUCCAGCAAUCCCCCACCAGAUCCCAGGGGCACACAAAAUUUGCCUUUGGUUCCAAAACACUGUUUUAUAUA
rnacentral:lncRNA from 1 species